AACGAACGCUGGCGGCAUGCCUAACACAUGCAAGUCGAACGAAGGCUUCGGCCUUAGUGGUGCACGGGUGAGUAACGCGUGGGAAACUGCCUAUUGGUGGGGAAUAACGACGGGAAACUGUCGCUAAUACCGCAUAAGCCCUUCGGGGGAAAGAUUUAUCGCCGAUAGAUGUGCCCGCGUCCGAUUAGCUAGUUGGUGAGGUAAUGGCUCACCAAGGCGACGAUCGUAGCUGGUCUGAGAGGAUGAUCAGCCACACUGGGACUGAGACACGGCCCAGACUCCUACGGGAGGCAGCAGUGGGGAAUAUUGGACAAUGGGCGAAAGCCUGAUCCAGCAAUGCCGCGUGAGUGAUGAAGGCCUUAGGGUUGUAAAGCUCUUUCGGGUGGGACGAUGAUGACGGUACCACCAGAAGAAGCCCCGGCUAACUUCGUGCCAGCCGCCGCAGUAA
rnacentral:rRNA from 1 species